GCUCUUUUUCUCAUUCUAAAUUACAUAAAAUCAUUCCCUACUGUUGUGUUUCCAUGUAAGCAACCAAACAAAGCACUAUGGAUGUAUCGUGAUGUCCCAAGUCCAAGGAGUGGCUGCUGUGACUCUGAAUGUGAAAGAUAGUUUGAGGCGAAUCUCCUGUAAAACUCCUAUUUGUAUUUCAACAGAUCUAUCAUAUCUAAGGAAUGCAAUGUCUCCAGAGUUGCGAGGACAUCAAAUUCCUAUGGCCAAGGAUCAAAAAGAAGGUGAAGCUCUCUUGUGUCAGCGGAAGGCUGAUUUUGGGGAUGGGAAGAUAACUCAGUGAAAUUUCUAAUAAUGACAAGAAGACUUCAAAGAAAGUUGCAGGUAAAGUACUUUUCUUUUUCAGUAGAUAUUUGUUCUGCCUCAAAUUUUCCAGGUUGGUAGGUAGAGGUUCCAUUUUAAAGGGAAUGCGCAAGAGAUUGCGCUGGU
rnacentral:lncRNA from 1 species